rnacentral:lncRNA from 1 species
GAAGGUCAAUUUCAUGAAUUUUUGAAACCAAAGCUACAAACUUAUUUGGACUCACGUGAAAGAAGGAUGCCUGAAAUGAUCUUGGGCUACAAAUUCAACUUCAUUUGUUGGGAAGUUUCCCUGAUGCUCAACCCAAGCCUGCCUCUCUGCACCUGCUCAAGGUCCCUGGCUCAGCUUCCUCUCCAAUCAGUCUUCACACAGCUGACAAAAGAAUCUUCCAAAGACACAAGGCACUCAUUUAUUAAAAAGUCUCAUUUGCUUCCCAAUCCUGAGAAAACAAAAUAAAGUGUCUUAUCUGGCAUUUAUUACCUCUCCAAUCUGACCCCUGCCUGCCUCUCCAGCCUUCUUUCAUGUCCUAAAGGUACUUUAUGUUGUAGUCAUUCCACAAUUGGAAUACUCU